GACGAACGCUGGCGGCGCGCUUAACACAUGCAAGUCGAACGGAAAGGCCUGCUUUCCCUUGUGGAUUGCGGGUACUCGAGUGGCGAACGGGUGAGUAACACGUGAGUGAUCUGCCCCCAACUUGGGUAUAAGCCUGGGAAACUGGGUCUAAUUCCCGAUAGGACUGCAGGGUGGUGCCUGUGGUGGAAAACGAUUUUCUAGUGGUUGGGGAUGAGCUCGCGGCCUAUCAGCUUGUUGGUGGGGUAAUGGCCUACCAAGGCGGCGACGGGUAGCCGGCCUGAGAGGGUGGACGGCCACAUUGGGACUGAGAUACGGCCCAGACUCCUACGGGAGGCAGCAGUGGGGAAUAAUGCACAAUGGGCGGAAGCCUGAUGCAGCGACGCCGCGUGGGGGAUGACGGCCUUCGGGUUGUAAACUCCUUUCGACCGCGAGGAAGCCACCUGGUUGGAAGGGUGGUGACGGUAGUGGUAGAACAAGCACCGGCUAACUACGUG
rnacentral:rRNA from 1 species